AACGCAUUCAGUGGGAAUUUAAUCCGCCGUCUGCAUCACACUUUGGAGGAGUAUGGGAACGCCUUAUUAGAUCAGUGCGUAAGGUAUUCUAUUCAGUCAUGCACGAACAGAACAUUCGACUAACUGAUGAAGGACUUAUGACUCUAUUCUGUGAAGUAGAAAGUAUUCUUAAUGGACGUCCGAUCACAGAAGCGUCAGAUAGUAUCACAGACUUAAAUGUAUUGACUCCGAAUCACUUGAUACUUCAACGUGCGGGUGAAAGCUUUCCACCUGGUGUGUUCUCUAAGACAGACAGCUAUGUCAGAAGGCGAUGGAGACAAAUCCAGUAUCUCGCUGAUUUAUUUUGGACUAGAUGGCGAAAGGAAUACUUACCUCUAUUGCAGCGCAGAACAAAAUGGACAAAACCGACAAGAAAUAUGCAAGUAGGAGACAUAGUUCUCAUUUCCGACAAUGCACCGAGAAAUUCGUGGAACAUGGCUCGUGUGAUUGAACUAAUCAAAGACAAGGACAAUGUUGUUAGAAUUGUCAAAGUGAAAACCGCAAAUUCUGUGUUAACGAGACCAAUUGCGAAACUGUGUCUUCUUGUAGAAAGUGACUAAAAACCCACAGCUGCCACCAAACUCGUGGAUAUGAUAGACAUUUAUUGAACAUUAUGAUAUAAUUGUCCUUUUGAUUUAUUUUUGAUAAUUGCGUUCUAGUUAAGAACCCAAUUUAGGGGCUGGUAUGUAAAGGCCAAUUUCUUGUUUUGAAUUUCGUUUUGCUAAUUUAUUAAUUUUUGAUGAAACUAACCUAGGUACAUUGGUUACUUUCCCCAUCAUAUUUUUCCCUGAAAAUUGAGAAACGUGUCACGACAAUUUUGAACCCUUUAAUUUUGAAUUAUAUAGAAAUAUCAGAGUCAACAAAUAAGUCAAUCUCAUCUUACUGUUUAUACUUUGGAUCCAGUCACUUCACUGUAACUUGGAAUAUUUUGGAAUAAACUUGAGGUGUGAA